GCUUCUUACAUCAUGGUGUAGUUGAGUCAGUUGAGAGUAGUGGUCAUGGUCAGUGAUAGUGGUGUAAUACUUUGCAAGUGCCGUGUUCUUACAUGUAAUAUUUUUACAUUGAAUUGGAGUAUUUUGCAUAAUAUCGGAUCUCCAUGGAUAAAAAAAACCUUAGGAAAUUGUGGAAUAAUAAUGCCAAACAUUGGUAAAUUAGAACUUUUGGUUCAACGGCUACUACCAAGAUCGUAGAGUAUAAAGGAAAUUGUGGAAUAAUAUUGCCAAACAUUGGAAACAAUACGAGAGCAAGCAUUUCAUAUUUUAUAUUUGUUGACAGACCUCGCAUAUUUUAUUUUAUAAGUUUUCUAGAAGAGGUGUAUGGGCGGUUUGUUUUAUGAACAUAUAUAAAAUAUGUUAGAUAUUUGCAGAUAUUGCUAAUUGAAGAAACUAUUACUUACUUAUGUUAAAAUUAAAAUUUUAGAAUAUACAAUCUCUAAUUAUUAUAGGCUUAAUUCUACAAAAACGUAUGUAUUUUUAACUUCAAAUAUCUUUGUAACUAAAUAUGGAAUUAGAAUUUCAUUAAAGUAAAAUUCACUUGAAAAUAAUA
rnacentral:lncRNA from 13 species